CAGGCAGGGAUGCUGGCUGGUAUGCACGCCCUCUCAGCUCAGCCCUGGCUCCCAGGAGCAUUCUGCUGUCUCCUUCUCUCCAAUUGCACCAGGGACUCCUACUCCCAGCCGCUCAUUGAAUACAGAAAGAUGCAGUGGUUGCAGGGGGAAAGAGAAACGUAAGGUUUUCUCCAGUAAGACCCUAUGAAUCCCCUUGAAUGAUCUUCCAUCAUCUCAAAUGUGAUGCAUUAAUUACCUGAAACAGUCCUCUUUUUGGAGGUCCCAUCUCUGCCACUGUGAACACAUUCUUUCCUCCUCUGCAGCCAGCUGCAUUGGCAUCACUGGAAACUCUUCCCUUGCCUUCUUCCUGGAGCUAGUUCUCUUUUUCUUUAUUUUUGAGACAGGGUCUUGCUGUUAUCCAGGGUGGAGUGCAGUGGCAAGAUCUCAGCUCACGGCAACUUCCAUCACCCAGGCUAAAGCGGUCCUCCCGCCUCAGCCUCCCCAGUAGCUGGGACUACAGGCAUGAGCCACCACAUCUGGCUUUUUACUUUUUCUUUUUUUUUUUUUUUUUUUUUUUUUAAGCAGAGACAAGACUUUGCCAUGUUGCCCAGGAUGGUCUUGAACUCCUGAGCUCAAGCAAUCUGCUUGCCUUAGCCUUCCAAAGUGCUAGGAUUACAGGUGUGAGCCACCAUGCCCAGCCUCUGGGACUAGUUUUCUAUUGCUGCAUAACAAAUAGCCACAAACUUGGGACUUAGAAUGACAUCCAUGUAUUGUCUCAUGGUUUCUGCAAGUCAAAGUCCAGGCACAGACAUAGCAGAGCUGACUUUUCAGCUCAGCAUCCCACGAGCCUGAGAUCAAAGUUUGGGCUGGGCUGGGCUCCUGUCUGGAGCUUGGGGUCUUCCUUGAACCUCACACAGUUGUUGGCAGAAUUCAGUUUCUGUGGUUGUAGGGCCCAAGCCAUCUUUCUCCCACUGGCUGUCAACCAGGGGUCGCCCCCAGCUCCUAGAGGCUGCCCAAAGUUCCUUGCCAUGUGGAUCCCUCCACAGGUCCCAGUCUCUCUGAAUUCUUCUGUCCUUGACCUCUAGAUCUAAAUUUAAAGGGCUCUGAUGACGAGGUCAGGCCCACACAGUUCAUAUCUUUGAUUAACUCAAAGUCAACUGAUUAGUUACCUUAAUCACAUCUGCAAAAUCCCUCUUGCCACGUAGCCUACCAUAACAGCCGAACACCAGGAGGCAGAGGCCACAGGCCAUCUCAGAACUCUGCUCACCACACUCCUCUAUGUCCCAUGCUCCUUACAUCUGAGUUCCCUUUCAUUUAGGCCAUUCCUUCCCUCACACCUUUCACACUGCACUACGCCUAACUCUUCCAAUGCAUUGCACACUCUCACGCCCCUAAACUUUUGCCCAGGUGAUUCCCUCUACUGUGAAUGCCUUUCCCUGCCUGGGGAAUCUUGUCCUUUGAAGCCCAGCUCAACGUCCCUUCCUUCCUUAAACCUCACCCUGCACAGGUAA
rnacentral:lncRNA from 10 species